CUUGUGGUGGGAUCCCUGCUUACCUCACCCAUGUGAUGCACUGUUCUCUUCCUGGCUGUGAUCUGAGACCAAUGCUAUGUCAGACUUCUGGUCCUGCACCUUGGACUCUUGUCAAUCAAUAGCAUGGAAGUAAUUGGAAACAGUGGCUAUGGACCCAAAGUGUUGCCUGGAAUACCAUAUUUGAAAAUGAUGAUCAUCUAAUCAGACAUGACCAGACACUUUUAAGAAGCUAAGGUUGACUUCGUGGAGCCCGUGCUUACAAAACUCUGUUUGGAACACUGGCCUCGUUCCUGGCUUACAGGUCUCCUGGCCUUGUAGGUCCAUCCCUCUUUUAAGAUGUCUGAUCUCCAGGACCCUGCCACCUUCCAAAAGAUGGUUCAACUGGUUUUACCGGAACCACACCAACAAGAAUCCACGGGAUACCAGUUUUCUUUUUCAUUAUCUCUUUUUAUUGGAGUAUAAUUGGCAAAUGAUAUUAUAUUAGUUUCAUUUUUUAAAAGAUUUAUUUAUUUAUUUGAGAGAGAGAG